rnacentral:rRNA from 1 species
AUGAACGCUAGCGGCAGGCUUAACACAUGCAAGUCGAGGGGUAUGCCGAUUUAUCGGCAGAGACCGGCGCACGGGUGCGUAACGCGUAUGCAAUCUACCUUUCACAGAGGGAUAGCCCAGAGAAAUUUGGAUUAAUACCUCAUAGUAUAGCGGUUUCGCAUGAAACCACUAUUAAAGUUCCAACGGUGAAAGAUGAGCAUGCGUCCCAUUAGCUAGAUGGUAAGGUAACGGCUUACCAUGGCUACGAUGGGUAGGGGUCCUGAGAGGGAGAUCCCCCACACUGGUACUGAGACACGGACCAGACUCCUACGGGAGGCAGCAGUGAGGAAUAUUGGACAAUGGGCGCAAGCCUGAUCCAGCCAUGCCGCGUGCAGGAUGACGGUCCUAUGGAUUGUAAACUGCUUUGUACAGGAAGAAACACUACUUCGUGAAGUAGCUUGACGGUACUGUAAGAAUAAGCACCGGCUAACUACGUG